rnacentral:lncRNA from 1 species
GUAUCGAGGAUUUGGGCUAAAUGGUUUGAACUCGACAUAGUUAUCUACAGGGAGAAUAGUUUGUAGUUAGAUUUUAUACUUAUAAAAAUAUUUAUUCUAGGGACUUUACAAACAAACAAAGGCUCUCACUAUUUUCUUGAAUCUCCCACACUCCUCGGAUGGAGAAACAGAGAACUAUACAUGAUCAGUUUUAAGUGGGUACUGCGGUCCCAUUAAUCUAUACAUACCUCACCUAAC